rnacentral:rRNA from 1 species
UACGUAGGUGGCAAGCGUUGUUCGGAAUUAUUGGGCGUAAAGGGCGCGUAGGCGGUUUGUUAAGUCGGUCGUGAAAGCCCGGGGCUCAACCCCGGAGGGUCGACCGAUACUGGCAGACUAGAGUACAGAAGAGGUAACUGGAAUUCCCGGUGUAGCGGUGAAAUGCGUAGAUAUCUGGAGGAACACCGGUGGCGAAGGCGGCAUCCUGGACCGAUACUGACGCUGAGGAGCGAAAGCCAGGGGAGCAAACGGG